rnacentral:tRNA from 1 species
AAGCUAUAAGUUACAUAGAUUAUACUUUGAAAGUAUAAGAAGAGAUAAGAUCUCAUAACUUU